AUAUAUAAUAUAAAAAGAGGGCGGAUGUAGCCAAGUGGAUCAAGGCAGUNGAUUGUGAU
rnacentral:tRNA from 1 species